UGAUUCUAAGAACAGUGUGUGGGGGAAGGUGAGGACAGGAGCCCCAGGUUAAGAAGAGGGGGUAAAGCAGAGGGCCUGAAUGGGAGUCUAUGGAGUUUUGGGGUCUGAGAACAUUUGGGUGAUGUAUCUGGUGAGGAAUAAAUAAUGUGAGAAAGGAUGUGGUCAGCGGGGCUAUGUGGCCAGCAAUGCAGGAAAUCAGAAGAGAUGGCCUAGCUUGGUAAUUUUCCUCUAAGUACCUUGUAGGGGCCAUCAGAAGAUCCAGGGGCAAGAGGAGUUGCUCCUGGGUGCUGGCAGGAGACUGGAACUGGAAGCAAGAAAGAGAUGAGGAGGAAGAAUCAGGUACAAGGAGAAACUUGGGGAAGGACACAAGAGAAAAUGACAAAAAAGUCUGUGACCUUUCAUUACAUUUGCACAGGCAUCAAUGUUUCCAUUACUGAUCACCUUAGACCUAAAGCUGCGUGCUUCCUGUGUAAACAAACAUAGAGCCAGAGAAACAGAGAGCCAGAGAAACAGUAAUAACAAAUGAGAAAGAGAAUAGUGGCUGGGAAAAAUGCAGAGGGGUUCAGAAUUUAAAUAUCACCCACAUCCCAAUCUAGAACAUUGUUCUGUGAACUGAGAACCUUGAUAGGAUCUUCUAUGCAUCAGUCUCUUUGAUGGAGGACCCAACUUUAGUGUAUGGGUUCAAUCAUACACACACUCAACAAGGACUGCUUGGACACCUUGAGCAGGGAACAGUUACGCACUAGAGAUGAAAGAGGGGAGUGAGCCCUUUUGUUCUUUAAGUUUAGGCUGACAUUAACAGAGGACACAAUAAACAAUUAAUUAGUUACAGUGGGUCACAGACUGUGGACAAUUUUAAAAGGCCAUGACAGACUUCUGGGAAGAUGGCAGACUGGUGAACAGCAGAGAAACAGGCUCUCUAAGAUUUGAUGUCAGACGCUGGAACAUAGCAAUGUGAGGAAGAAAAGGAGGGAAGUGGUUUCCCAGGAACCAGCAAGAAUCUGAAGCAAGAAUUGAAGUCCAUGGUGAGAGUGAAGAGAGAGACCUCAAGGCAUUAGAAGGAGGUGGCAAGAAACAAUGUCUCUCUGAGCCCUGACUCACUGCAUGGGAGGAGUGGAUUGAACCUGCAGAAACACAGUGACUACUGGCAACCCCAGAGGCUUCCACAGAGAAAUGCACCAGUGGAAUGAAGCAGUGGACACAACAGACUGCAGUAGCUGAAUGGAUCAGUUUGGAAAGCCUCACUCAAAUGUCCAAAACCUUGAUGAGGAUGCCUAGAUGGUGGGAUCAUCUGGAGCUAUGUGACAGAAUAUCUACUUGAGGCUUCUCCCGCAUGGCAGCUCAAGGUUACCAGUGUGCUCCAAAAGGCCUGAAUAGACGCUGUAAGAUUUUUCCUUU
rnacentral:lncRNA from 1 species